GCUGCCAAGGGAACCCAGCAAAGAGCUCUUUGAGAGGUAACUAGCACUCUUGCCUUUUUACAUGAGGUCCUAAGUCACUAUGGCAGAUGUAUCCCAAUUUUUGUUUUUCUAUACUUCUCUAGUAUAAAUUUUAGCUGGUAACAUGGCUGCCUGGCCAAAAACUACAUUUCCCAGCCUCCCUUGCAGUAGCUAUGGUCAUGUGACUGGGUAAAGGCAGCAGAAGUGAUGCGGGUCACAUCUUGAUCUUGCCCUCAAAAAAUUGAUAGUAUCAUCAACCCUCACACCCAGUCCCUUUCCCCCUUUCCACUGCUGAAGAAGAGAACAAGAACCGAAGCAUCUCCUUAGACACAGAGAUGGAAAGCAUGUAUUAAGGAUGCUGAGCUGCCCCAGGUCAGGACCUGCUGACCUCCAGACUGUGACAUGGGAACAUCAACUUCUCUCUUGGGUCUCAGGCUGGAGUUCAGUGGCACAAUCUUGGCUCAUUGCAACCUCUGCUUCCCAGGUUCAAGUGAUCCUCCCACCUCCGCUUCCUGAGUAGCUGAGACUACAUGCAAAUGCCAACCAUGCCCAGGCAUUAAGUUUGACACUGGGGACAUAAAAAUGGGUAACACACGGCCCUGGAUCUCAAGGAACCAGCCUCCUGAUGGAAAAUAAAAGAGAGAGAGACUUAAAUGGAUGAUUUCAGCAUAAUGAAUGUGACGGGUGAUAAGAUAAGGCAAUGCAUCUGGUAUCACUGCUUUUCCAAGGCUUCUAAAGGGGUAAAAAAUUACCCAGUGGGUAUUUGAAGGAGAAAGUAAAUAAAAGAAAAUCUACCAAGA